UACCCUUGACAUGGCAGGAAUCCUGAAGAGAUUUAGGAGUGCUCGCAAGAGAACCUGCACACAGGUGCUGCAUGGCUGUCGUCAGCUCGUGUCGUGAGAUGUUGGGUUAAGUCCCGCAACGAGCGCAACCCUUGUCAUUAGUUGCUACGAAAGGGCACUCUAAUGAGACUGCCGGUGACAAACCGGAGGAAGGUGGGGAUGACGUCAAGUCCUCAUGGCCCUUAUGGGG
rnacentral:rRNA from 1 species